rnacentral:rRNA from 1 species
UACUAGAGUAGCACUCGCAUAUCAAUAAGCGGAGGAAAAGAAACUAACAAGGAUUCCCCUAGUAACGGCGAGUGAAGCGGGAAGAGCUCAAAUUUGAAAUCUUAAAGGGUUUCCCUUUACGAAUUGUAGUUUAAAGAAGUGUUUUCUGUUGAGGUUUUGGUAAAAGUUCUUUGGAAUAGGACAUCAUAGAGGGUGAGAAUCCCGUAUUUGACCUUUACUUUCAACUUUGUGAUACACUUUCAAAGAGUCGGAUUGUUUGGGAAUGCAGUCCUAAAUGGGUGGCUAAAUUUCAUCUAAAGCUAAAUAUUGGCGAGAGACCGAUAGCGAACAAGUACCGUGAGGGAAAGAUGAAAAGAACUUUGAAAAGAGAGUUAAACAGUACGUGAAAUUGUCAAAAGGGAAGCGUCUGACACCAGUGUUGUUUUUCUGAAAAUCAAUUAAAGAACUGUUUAUGCUAAGUUGUUUAGACUUUAUCAGCUAACUGUUUAGUUUUGAGCUUUUCUUUAAUGCACUUUUCAGUUAACAAGUCAACAUCAAUUUCUUUUGCUGUAAAAAAGCUUGAGGAAGGUGGCUUGAGAUUCGUCUUAAGUGGUUAUAGCCUCUUGCCUAUGCAGUCGGAGAGAUUGAGGUCUGCAGCGUAGAUCCUUCGGGGCUAAAUGCAUUUGUGCUAAGUUAUAACAUUUUAUAGACAACUUGUUGACUAUGAUUUGUCUUGUAGCUUACUCGCUUAUGUUAUUUUACCUACGCUUAGGAUGUUGAUAUCGCGCUCUCACUG